rnacentral:rRNA from 1 species
AUGCCCAAUCCCAUUGAUCCAAAAAGAUCAAAGCAAAUCAAAAUAAUUAAACAAAACUCCCCUAGGGCUGUUGUUAGUUGGAGACACUCGUUGUUUCGAGCAAGCCAUGGAUUGAUGCUUGUUGGUGGUUGGGGGAGUAUAAACCUUUACCAUUCUGUUUGGGAACUGCCUAUAAUGCAUGUAGUAUGGAAGAUACAGCCAUCUCAUAGUUUUUGCAUUGACAGCAAAAGUAUGCCGCUCAAAAUGUUAUUCAAUCUCUAUUUUAAAAUCGAGCUCUGGCACCUCUACAAAUCCAUGCUUCCCUCUGCGGAGGGCCUAUCUAUUUACUUUUAUGUUAAGUCAUCACCCUUCUUAUUAAAAAGCACCCACUGGAGAGCACACUGUCAUUUGCAUUUAUUAUUGUUGGUUUAUAUUGGGUAUGACUUGCCUGGAUCUCUUUUACCAUGA